rnacentral:rRNA from 1 species
AGUGAACGCUGGCGGCAGGCCUAACACAUGCAAGUCGAACGGCAGCACAGAGGAGCUUGCUCCUUGGGUGGCGAGUGGCGGACGGGUGAGGAAUACAUCGGAAUCUGCCUUAUCGUGGGGGAUAACGUAGGGAAACUUACGCUAAUACCGCAUACGACCUACGGGUGAAAGCGGAGGACCUUCGGGCUUCGCGCGAUAAGAUGAGCUGAUGUCGGAUUAGCUAGUUGGCGGGGUAAAGGCCCACCAAGGCGACGAUCCGUAGCUGGUCUGAGAGGAUGAUCAGCCAAACGGGAACUGGGACACGGUCCAGACUCCUACGGGAGGCAGCAGUGGGGAAUAUUGGACAAUGGGCGCAAGCCUGAUCCAGCCAUGCCGCGUGGGUGAAGAAGGCCUUCGGGUUGUAAAGCCCUUUUGUCCGGAAAGAAAAGCACUGGGUUAAUACCUCGGUGUUCUGACGGUACCGGAAGAAUAAGCACCGGCUAACUUCGUGCCAGCCGCCGCGGUAAUAC